AGUGAACGCUGGCGGCAGGCCUAACACAUGCAAGUCGAACGGCAGCACAGUAAGAGCUUGCUCUUACGGGUGGCGAGUGGCGGACGGGUGAGGAAUACAUCGGAAUCUACUUUUUCGUGGGGGAUAACGUAGGGAAACUUACGCUAAUACCGCAUACGACCUACGGGUGAAAGCAGGGGAUCUUCGGACCUUGCGCGAUUGUAUGAGCCGAUGUCGGAUUAGCUAGUUGGCGGGGUAAAGGCCCACCAAGGCGACGAUGCGUAGCUGGUCUGAGAGGAUGAUCAGCCACACUGGAACUGAGACACGGUCCAGACUCCUACGGGAGGCAGCAGUGGGGAAUAUUGGGCAAUGGGCGAAAGCCUGAUCCAGCCAUACCGCGUGGGUGAAGAAGGCCUUCGGGUUGUAAAGCCCUUUUGUUGGGAAAGAAAAGCAGCAGGUUAAUACCCCGCUGUUCUGACGGUACCCAAAGAAUAAGCAACGGCUAACUUCGUG
rnacentral:rRNA from 1 species